ACUCAAAGGAAUUGACGGGGGCCCGCACAAGCAGCGGAGCGUGUGGUUUAAUUCGAGGCUACACGAAGAACCUUACCCAGGUUUGACAUACCAGUGGUAGUGAACCGAAAGGGGAACGACCUUCGGGAGCUGGUACAGGUGCUGCAUGGCUGUCGUCAGCUCGUGUCGUGAGAUGUUCGGUUAAGUCCGGUAACGAGCGCAACCCUCGCCGUUAGUUACAAGUGUCUAGCGGGACUGCCCGGAGGAACUGGGAGGAAGGUGGGGAUGACGUCAAGUCAGCAUGGCCUUUAUAUCUGGGGCUACACACACGCUACAAUGGUCGGGACAAUGGGCAGCCAAGCGGCGACGCGGAGCUAAUCCAGUCAAACCCGGCCUCAGUUCGGAUUGCAGGCUGCAACUCGCCUGCAUGAAGUCGGAGUUGCUAGUAAACGCAGGUCAGCCAUACUGCGUUGAAUACGUUCCCGGGCCUUGUACACACCGCCCGU
rnacentral:rRNA from 1 species